rnacentral:rRNA from 1 species
GACGAACGCUGGCGGCGUGCUUAACACAUGCAAGUCGAACGGUGAAGCGCCUUCCUUUUUGGUGGGUGUGGAUGAGUGGCGAACGGGUGAGUAACACGUGAGUAACCUGCCCCCUUCUUCUGGAUAACCGCAUGAAAGUGUGGCUAAUACGGGAUAUUCUGGGUCUGUCGCAUGAUGGGUCUGGGAAAGAUAUUGUUUCGGUGGGGGAUGGGCUCGCGGCCUAUCAGCUUGUUGGUGGGGUGAUGGCCUACCAAGGCGGUGACGGGUAGCCGGCCUGAGAGGGUGGACGGUCACACUGGGAAUGAGACACGGCCCAGACUACUACGGGAGGCAGCAGUGGGGAAUAUUGCACAAUGGGCGCAAGCCUGAUGCAGCGACGCCGCGUGAGGGAUGGAGGCCUUCGGGUUGUGAACCUCUUUCGCCAGUGAAGCAGGCCUGCCUCGUUUGUGGGUGGGUUGACGGUAGCUGGAUAAGAAGCGCCGGCUAACUACGUG